ensembl:ncRNA R04F11.18 ncRNA
UUUGGCAUGAGCAGGUGAGUCAAAUAGCGACUCAUAUAGCUCAUGACGCCUUUCAGCGCGAGAUGGACUCUCACCCCGACCAGCAAUAUGUCCAAAAAAUGCUCACGGGGACUCUAUUACAUCCUUGUCUCAGCCUUCAUUCAUCUCGUCUUUCCCCUUAUUUUAUGUUAUUAUUUAUUCGUCGAUGGACACCGCUUCGCUGUUCUAUCUA